UUACAGAGUUUGAUCCUGGCUCAGGAUGAACGCUAGCGGUAUGCCUAACACAUGCAAGUCGUACGAGAGUUUUAACUCUAGUGGCGGACGGGUGAGUAAUACGUGAGAACUUACCCUUAGGAGAGAAAUAACAGUGGGAAACUGCUGCUAAAGUCUCAUAUACCUUUUGGUGAAAUAGAGUAAUCUGCCUAAGGAAAGGCUCGCGCCUGAUUAGCUAGUUGGUAGGGUAAAUGCCUACCAAGGCGAUGAUCAGUAGCUGGUUUGAGAGGAUGAUCAGCCACACUGGAACUGAGACACG
rnacentral:rRNA from 1 species